UGGGGAAUAUUGCACAAUGGAGGGAACUCUGAUGCAGCGACGCCGCGCGAGUGAUGAAGGAAUUCGUUUCGUAAAACUCUGUUCUAUGGGAAGAAAAGGACUGUACCAUAGGAGAAAGCUCCGGCUAAAUACGUGCCAGCAGCCGCGGUAAUACGUAUGGAGCGAGCGUUGUCCGGAAUUAUUGGGCGUAAAGGGUGCGCAGGCGGCUUUACAAGUUGGAUGUGAAAUAUUGUGGCUCAACCACAAACGUGCAUCCAAAACUGCAAAGCUUGAGUUAAGGGGAGGUAAGUGGAAUUCCUGGUGUAGCGGUGGAAUGCGUAGAUAUCAGGAGGAAUACCGGUGGCGAAGGCGACUUACUGGACUUAAACUGACGCUCAGGCACGAAAGCGUGGGGAGCAAACAGG
rnacentral:rRNA from 1 species